AAAAAUCUCAGAAUAUUGAACAAAAGAGCACCUGUCAUCACUAUAUCAGUGACCUUGACACAUGGAUCUUCAAAAAAGAAUAGUCAAAGCCCUUGAAACCUGGACACCUACAGAAGUUUUGAAGGAAGAGGUCAGCCUGCAGCCUGGUGAUUCCAGGGAGCCCUUCUUCCCACCCCACUCCUCACAGAGCAGCCCUCUCCUCAGAGACCCUGCAUCAGGACUUCUGGCCUCAGCAGUACCACAGCACCAGCUCCUCUGUGUGUGUGUCCAGUCUUCAUGAGAGUCAACGCUCUCAUUGGAUCGGUUUCCCGAGAUGUCUGACAAGGAAAGGUUAGUGGAUGAGAGGUGAAUGAUGCUGACUUUUCUUUGAUCUUCCCAGACCCAGAAGCCACUGGUGCCAUGAACUAGGAGUCCUCAACCCUUCUCCAUGUUGGGAACUAUUCCAGAGGUUCUUUACAUCAUUGGUUUGGAAGCAUCUUGGUCAUCUUCUAACACAGCUGUCACAUACAGCAAAGGUUGAGAACCAUCACACUAGAUAUUCUCUAGUUCAGAGAGGGGAUCCCAGAAAGUGCCUUGCUUUACUGAACAUCAAAUUGCCACUUUGAAGUUAACACCACCAAAACAACACUCAUGGUUUAUCCCCAGAUUCCAAAAUCUGUCUCUCAGAGUUUUCCAGCUUUGGGGAAAACUCCUGGGAGUCUUCCAGCUCAUAACCCAAAUCCUAUAUGUUAGAAAACAUUAGAAGCUUUGCCAUCUGAAUGCAUCUGGAAAGUGAUGCCUUCUUAUUCAUAACUUUGAAAAUUAUGUUGCUUGCUCACCUGUGUUAUGGCUCUGGCCUCCUAACUCAUCUGCCUACAUUUGUUUUUCUCUGCAAUCAUGUCUCAUGAAUCAGCAAGUAGAGCCCCAUAAAUUCUAAUGCAUCAUGUUUUUUCCUCUGUUCAAAACCUUCAAUAGGUUCUCAUCUUAUGAAGAGUGAAAGCCUGAGUUUUAUAUAUUCUUAUAUUACCUGCAUCCAGCAAUGUCAGGCAGAGUGGAUUCCUCUAUGGAUGAAAUCCUUUGGUUAAGAAAUUAUAACUUCAGGGUUAAACAGAAUAAGGUAAGUAUUGUGGAACUCCUGAAAAAAUAUAAGAUGCUAAGGAUAGUUAUGAAGUCUCCAAGAAGAUGUUCUAUAUAGUAUCUUCUAAACUUAGCUAAAAACAAGGGUACCAUUUGAAGGGUAGUACCAUUUUCACUUUUCCAGUGACAUCAAUGGUAACAAUCUUUACCUGCCUGUAGGAAAAGGAAUCAAACAGGUCUGACAAACUAUCAU
rnacentral:lncRNA from 1 species